ensembl:lncRNA
UUACACAAACAAUGGUAAUGAAAUCUAAAAAUAUAUAUUUCUUUUAACACCACAGGUGGUUGGUAAAACAAGAUGGAGGAAACCUACCAGUGGGCCAAAGAAACAUCGUGAUUCAAGCAAUGGUCACAAUGAAGGCGUGUUUAACGGAAGAGGAUUUUAUCCAAACUUCCUCUACAAAGUGCAAAGAGCUGGAUUCCUACACAUGUCAACAUAUUUGAAGAAUCAUUGGACUUCUUGGGGGGAGUUGUGGUCCAAUUUUGGCAGAUCAUUCAAUCAUGAAAACAGUGAAACCAACAACAAGGCAGAAAGAUUCUUCCACACAAUGAAAUAUCAGUUCCUGAAGGGGGACACUAACAGGCGAAUUGACCAGCUCCUUAGCCUGCUGUAUGGUGAUGUCCACAAAUAUUACUGUUACAUAGAAGAGC